AACCUAUUCAGUUUAGGAUUACAAAUGCAAUACGGUAUUUCUCUAAUAUAAUACUCUUGACCACAUUGUUUGGCUUGAUAGUUUAUUCAUGUCUACUAUCCAAUGUGAUUCGUGUGCUUAUAUGAUUACCUUGAAUGUGAUUUGGAACGACUUCCUAAAUCUCAUUCAUACUCUGGCCAGAGAUUCUUAAUCAUAUCCUAGAGUAUUCUCCCUCAAACGGUUUGAAGGUUAGAGAUCCCUUGUUGCGCAUUCACUUGCCUCCAUGGCUAAGUGGCUUAACCCCAACUAUGUCGUGGACACCCUCGAAUGGAGUGACUUUGACAUAAUCAAAGAUCAAGGACUUAACCACAAGACAACUAUGAUGCCUCAGGUCAAAGGACUACUUUGCAUUAUCCCAACCAUGAGUUCUCAUGUGACAUGAAUAUGAGAACUCUUCAUUGAUCGUGUUCAGUGAACUCAUUCUCUAUUGAGCACCUACGUACUUGUCUUGAUGUCACACACACCAAUGACUCGAGACUAGUCACUCUCCCUGGGAGAAGACACAGCACGUACUGAUCUUAACGGACUGUCAAUGCCCAAUUGGCAAUCCUAUGAUUAGGAACGUUUAGGAUAUGUAUACGAAAGAAUGGUCUCAUGAAUCUAACUUCUUUAGAUUGCAUUCUCCUAAUCACAUAUUCCUUGGACUUAUCGUUUAAGCAUAUAACAUGUAUAUGAGACGACUCAAACAAUAACCUUUUGCCCUUUAUAUUUAAACUACAUUAGUUUAACUUGUGAAAUGUCCAUAAAGUAUCAUCAUAUGAUUGGUUUUAGGGCACAUUUCCAACAUGAAUUUGGAUGAAAAUUGGUUUUUACUUGACUCAAAAUACUUAAAAACACAAACUAAAACAGAUUCUAACUAAUUAGACAUACUAAAGUAAAGGGGGAUUUGGUUUUGGACGAAAAUAAAGUAAAAACAAAACAGAAACUAAAACUAGAUAGAUUUGCACGAAUUUGGGAAAAACUAUGGAUGAUGGGCUAGCUAGAGGGUCCUUCUCCACACAUGACACACUUGCAUACAAAAUCAAUUUCCAGUUGUUCUUUCAAUAAACCAUAAAUCUCAACACCCCAGGUUAAUUAGGUACGCUUAAAUUAACCCUCAGAUUUUCCUUAUGUCAUUGAAUUGGAUGGAAAUAGCGCAUUGCAAUCAAAUUAUUCUUCAAAAGUUCCUUACAUGAAAGCGCAUAAUAGAGAUACAAUCAAAGAUCAUUAAGUUCUAUGAAAAUCAUAAGUAUUGACAAGACAUUCGUAACUAUGAAAGCGCAUGAUACAUAUGCCAGGAAUUUACUUAACACGAUUGUGACUAGCAACCUCCACUACUUAUGAAUAUAAGUUCAUAACGAUUAGGUGAAACUCCCUUAUAUCCUAGCAUCAGAUUUAUGCAUGCAAAUUAAGUGUGCACUCUCAACCCACAUACACAAAUAAGUUUUAAUUCAAACAGAUAAGUAAAUUGAAUUCACAAUUUAUGAAAUUACAACUGGAUGUAAUCAAAUCAUAUUGCAAGUAUAUUCAUGGUUUCGAAAUUCCCCCUAGCUAAGAGGGGUUUAGCCUCUCAUGUUCACAUAACAAAGAUACAUAAAUUUAGACAUUGAAAACAAAGGAUUGAAAACACCUAAAAGCGUUCUAGCAAUCCAACUUGACUGGCAAGCAUGUCCAAGAGUCUUCCUUCCUCUUCUUUGCUGUGACACAAGGGUUGGGUGAAGGUUUGAGUGGUGGUUUGUAUGGUGGGGAAUGGGUGAGUUUCUGAAUGGUUCAAAGGUCAUGGUAAGGGGUUGUAUUUAUAGCAAAAUAUGUCCAAACCCUAGAGAAUAGAGGCUAAGGUGCGGCAAAAAAUCAAGGGAAAAGGAAAGAAAGUUUUUAUUAAUGUUUUAGGAUUUAUUACUCUAAAUCUAUUAGGAAAGGCUAAGUCAAAGUCAAAAUCCAAAGGGAAACAGAAAUAAGGUGUGGCAAAGGACUUAGGAAAGGGAAAGGAACCUAAAAAGAAAGGGAAAGUGUUCCCCUUGUGCGGCAAGGAAUGAUCCUUGCAGAUUUGGUGCGGCAUCAAAGUAGGAAUGGGAUUAGGCCUUCUAGAAACAUAUAAUUAAGUGUCCCAAACUAUUUUGGAACCCUUCUUGCUGCUGGAAUUUAAGUGAUAUAGGAAUAGGAAAGGUUAGGACCAAAUAAGGUAACUCGGCUAACAUUCCUUCUUUCUUGCUUUGAUCUUUGACUUUCUUUUCUUGAAUUGAUUUCUUCAUAACUUCAGCAUAAUCCUAGCCUCUUUUGGUCUUCAAUUUUGUCCAUCCCUCUUGCUACAUGCAUGUGAUAUUCAUUACAAGCCCAAAACUGCUUCGAAAAGCUCCAAAAAGCACUUUCUUUCUACUUUAGCCCUUUGGACCUACAAACACACGAAAAUGGCUUGACAUACUAAAUUAACUAAGAAAUAACAACAUAAUUGCACAAGAAUAAGCUAACUAAGUCGUAUAACUAUGCUCAUAUCAGUGUGAUGGAGGAAUUUUAUCAACCUGAUAAAUUCAAAAGCAUUUAUCUGUUUUGGGGCAAAAAUGGUUACUUGUUAAGAAAAUGGCACAAUCCAAAAGCACAAAUGAAAUGUAUUCCAAAGUCUGUUAACUUUUCCUUUAGACUAGGUUUCUGGGUACUGAAAGUUGUUGGAAAAUAGUUAUUUAUUUAUUAUUUGAAUUUGGGCUUAGCCCGUUAGUAUUAGGGUUUCGUUUCAUUGCCUAUUAGAGUUAGGUUAGUUUUCUAUAUAUAUGGUACUUUGUAACUCUUUAGAAAAACAAGUUAGCCACAAUGUAGCCUCUUAGAGUUUUGUAGCCGUUUCGGCACUCUCAGUUCGUUUGUUAUCAAUAAUAUUUCUUAUUUUGUUAGUCUUGUUCGUUGCGCACUCUGAUAUUCAACUUGGUAUCAGAGCAGGUUUGAUCUUUCGGGAUUUAAUCUGCUUCAAAUUGUUAUCUGUUUGCUCGUUUCCGUCGUCGUUCGUUUUAGAUUUGUUAGUUGGUAUUGAUUGUUUGCAAGGAAAAGAAAAAUGAAAGAGAAAAAAAAAAGGUUUGCUUGCAGAGGAGAAGAUGAAGGAAAUUUUGUGAAAAACAUGUUCAUUUGAGCAACAUCUAUAGCAUGCAAUUAACAAAUUAAAGGCGGAAUCAUGCUUGCAUGCACUCAAAAACAAAACAUUACCCAUGAAAUUCAAAGCCUAGUAGCUAGGUGAACCAAGACUCAACUCAAAACAAAGUGAGUUGAGAAAUUUAUACCUUUGUAGAUUCCUCUUUGCAAAAGCAAAGGAUAAUCACCCAAGAGAUAGGGCCUUCAUUCCUUGCUUCUUAGAUCCAUGGAUUUGGAUGGAAGAAUAGGUUUCUCCAAGUUCUCAAAAUUGAGAACCUCUAAGUUUCCACAACAAGGUAAGAUUUUAAGAAGAAAUGAGUGACCUAGAGGAAGUAAGAUUGCUAGCUAUUUUCCUCUAGGGUGGCCGACCUCUUUAGAGAGAAAAGAGAGCUUGUGUUCUCAUCCUUUCCCCAAAAGAAACCCUAAAUGAAUUUUGGCUAUAAAGUCAUAUUUAUACCUUCCUUCAUUGGAGUGGCAAACUUGUAAUUAAAGCAAGUUCACUACCGUUCUCUAAAUGGCCGGCCUUAAGGGUUUAUAGGGUGAAGUCGGUGUACGAGUCACAAACGAUCGGAGCCUACCACGGUGGAAGGCCACGAAAGAGUGUACAAAGCACUCUCACGCUUAUCAACUUAAUAAUGGUUUGGUUGAGGGUUUUAGGUCUCAUCACAUAUAAGCAUUCAUUUUAAUCUUAUUAAAACAAUUUGGUCCUAUUACAACUAUUGGUCCAUGUGAUUGAUUUAGUAGUAUAUAAUACUCCCACUAAGCUUGUAAAACGGUUUUUAAAGCAAGAGUAUAUGGUACUACUAACAUAAGGUUUGCAUUCAUUGAUGGACUAUAUAGUUGCCUUAGGGCCUUAGGAUGACUAAGAACCUUUGAUUAGAUCCAACACGAGCCUCGUGUUGAAUCUCGGUCUAGGGAUGGUGAUUGAUUUUAGUUACGCGUUUAAUCAUAUUAAGGCGUGUUUCUCCUAUUGGGCGUUGGACCCAACUACUCCAAUUUCAUGCAUAUCAAAUAAAACAAGAAAAUGAGUACUUCAAAGUAAAGAAGAGCUUAUGCUCUUUUACAACAUUUGAUCAAAACAAAUUACUUUAAAGUAAAGAAGAGCUUAUGCUCUUUUACAACAUUUGAUCAUAUCAAAUUACAACCAAAAUCUAAUCUACACAUUCCCAUGGUUCAAACAAAUUUGAGACGGCCUUUCACAUAGCUCAAUUAUCGUAGGCUUAGGUUCAUAAUCACCCUUUAAUUAAUUAACGCUUUAACUAAUUAAACUUUGAAUGCAACAUUGUCAUUUGGUUUUUGUAUCCAUAGAAUUGAUUUAAAUGGAGCUAAAUGAAAUGAAAAUCCAAUUCUCAUUUAAAGAGACAAAACCAUUUUGUUCUCAACCUAAUUUGGGCCAAAAUGCAAUAACCUCAACUUUUUGGGCUAUGUUGCAAAACUUAAACUUUUGAGCUCAUUUUGUAAAAACAAAAAAGUCCAUUACUUCAUGUAAUUACAACUAGAACCCAAAAAUUUCAAUAAAUUCAAAAACUUCAUUAAAAGAACAAAACAAUUUGUCCUUUAAUAAUUUUGGGCCUUUACGUAAAUACGUAAACUUUUGGGUCAAACUGCAAAUACACAAAAGUAUCAAAACUUUAUGUAAUUGCAUAAAAGCCCCAAAAGAACCCUAUUUUAAUAGGGUGGCCGGUUAUAGAGAGUGAAGGGAGUGAUGUGUGUGUUGAUUUGUAGGUUUGACAUAAAGUCAUGCAAGUGGUGCAAGUGGUGCAAGAGGUGUGUGACAUAAAUUCAUGCAAGUGGUGUGUGUGUAAGAGAAGUACUUGUUACACACCCAUCACCAUUUCUAUCACCUUUCAAAAUUUCAAUCACAUUUAAACAUUUGAAAAAGCACAAAACAAAGACUUUAUGAAAUAAAUCAAAACUUUGAAUCAAAACACCAAACUUUUUGUUCUUGGCUAAAACAUCAAGAACAAUGAAGAACAUUCAUGAAAAAACCCAUAAAAGCUCCAUGAACAUUUUUCACCCAAAGACAUCCCAAAAACACUCAAACUUAAGGGAAAUAACAUAUAACCAUACUAGGGUACAUAGGGGUUCCAAAAGUCACCUUAAAACACUUUUAACAAGACAAACAUGAACCCAAAAAUCCACCCUUUAGAUUUGGCCGAAUUUCCCAAAACCAUGGCACCAAAUAUUUAGCUCCAAAAUUCAUGCUCAUAUGAACUACAUCUACAACAUUUGAGAUGGCAAAUUUUCUAACAAAAUUUACAUUCAAAGAAGCAAGAAUAAAGCUUGUAACAAUUACAACAUUCAAAUAAAAAAAACUAUGAACUACAAAACCCAAAAGGAUUCACCAACUACUAGACCUAGGCUCUGAUACCACUUGAAGGAAAUUUUGUGAAAACAUGUUCAUUUGAGCAACAUCUAUAGCAUGCAAUUAACAAAUUAAAGGCGGAAUCAUGCUUGCAUGCACUCAAAAACAAAACAUUACCCAUGAAAUUCAAAGCCUAGUAGUUAGGUGAACCAAGACUCAACUCAAAAGAAAGUGAGUUGAGAAAUUUAUACCUUUGUAGAUUCCUCUUUGCAAAAGCAAAGGAUAAUCACCCAAGAGAUAGGGCCUUCAUUCCUUGCUUCUUAGAUCCAUGGAUUUGGAUGGAAGAAUAGGUUUCUCCAAGUUCUCAAAAUUGAGAACCUGUAAGUCUCCACACCAAGGUAAGAUUUUAAGAAGAAAUGAGUGACCUAGAGGAAGUAAGAUUGGUAGCUAUUUUCCUCUAGGGUGGCCUGCCUCUUUAGAGAGAAAAGAGAGCUUGUGUUCUCAUCCUUUCCCCAAAAGAAACCCUAAAUGAAUUUUGGCUAUAAAGUCAUAUUUAUACCUUCCUUCAUUGGAGUGGCAAACUUGUAAUUAAAGCAAGUUCACUACCCUCCUCUAAAUAGCCGGCCUUAAGGGUUUAUUGGGCUUUCAAGCCCUUUGUUUAUUCAAGUUGUCAUACAACUUGAGUUAAUGGGCUUGACAUUCAAAUCCCAUUGGGCCUUGCGGUCCAAAACUAACCCUAGGUCUAUAACGAACUUAUUCGUUUGAUUAAUUAACAUAUUAAUUAAUUCUAGCCAUAAAUAAAUAAUUAAACCAUUUAAUUAUCCUUACUCAUCUCCAUUGUUUCUUCAAUCUCUACCUUACACGGUGUACGAUCCAUUAGGUUCCUUUUAGCGAGGCAGUGGGCGAUUGUUACUCUUAACGAUCGAUUGUGAAUUGAAACUUACUUUCAAUUCUCCCUUUAGUGAUUAUACACGUUUAGGGCUUCCACAAACCAUGAGUGACACCUAGCAGUAUGUCAUGGUUACCCAAGCUAAUCAGAAGAGGUGGAGAACCUAUUCAGUUUAGGAUUACAAUGCAAUACGGUCUUUCUCUAAUACAAUACUCUUGACCACAUUGUUUGGUUUGAUAGUUUAUUCAUGUCUACUAUCCAAUGUUAUUCAUUUACUUAUAUGAUUACCUUGAAUGUGAUUUGGAAUGACUUCCUAAAUCUCAUUCAUACUCUGGCCAGAGAUUCUUAAUCAUAUUAAAGAGUAUUCUCCCUCAAACGGUUUGAAGGUUAGAGAUCCCUUGUUGCGCAUUCACUUGCCUCCAUGGCUAAGUGGCUUAACCCCAACUAUGCCGUGGACACCCUCGAAUGGAGUGACUUUGACAUAGUCAAAGAUCAAGGACUUAACCACAAGACAACUAUAAUGCCUUAGGUCAAAGGAUUACUUUGCAUUAUCCCAACCAUGAGUUCUCAUGUGACAUGAGUAUGAGAACUCCUCGUUGAUCGUGUUCAGU
rnacentral:lncRNA from 1 species